rnacentral:lncRNA from 1 species
AGCUUUCCUUUUCGCUUCAAAUUUUCACUUGCUAAUAUGCGACUGCAUGUUUGAGUGUGAUGACUUUUUGGUGCAAAUAUUCUGCUGUCAAGAUACCCAGCUUAAAACAGCUUUGCCAUAGAAGAACUUUAAGUUGCAAAAAUCAGGUAAUCUGAAGACAGAAAAAAAUGUACUGUGUCACCUUACUAUCUUUGGUACUGCUAAUUGAAUCAGGGCUGUGGACAUUGGACCGUGGUCAGAGAUCUAUGAUAGUCUUGUGGGCAAGCUCUGCCCCACAAAGACCCCUCAAUAUUGCAUAGUAAAUGCCCCA